rnacentral:rRNA from 1 species
UACGGAGGGGGCUAGCGUUGUUCGGAAUUACUGGGCGUAAAGCGCACGUAGGCGGCUUUGUAAGUUAGAGGUGAAAGCCCGGAGCUCAACUCCGGAAUUGCCUUUAAGACUGCAUCGCUUGAACAUCGGAGAGGUAAGUGGAAUUCCGAGUGUAGAGGUGAAAUUCGUAGAUAUUCGGAAGAACACCAGUGGCGAAGGCGACUUACUGGACGAUUGUUGACGCUGAGGAGCGAAAGCGUGGGGAGCAAACAGG